rnacentral:tRNA from 1 species
AUUUAUGUAGUUUAUAAAAACAUUACAUUUUCAAUGUAAAAAUAAAAAAAAAUUUUCAUAAAUG